AGACGAAUCUAACAAGAUCCCACAUGACUAUGUUUUAUCUUAUAUAAAAAGCACUAAGAAUAGUCAAAGUAGAUUAUAUGAAUAGUGGCAAAAGUCCAAACGUUGCGAGUAUUAAAAGACGGAGGAAGUACAUGUUUAUGUUGCAGAGAACACAAAUGCUAGUGACAUUCACUCGUCCCUCUCUCUCUCUCUCCUCAAUUUUGAACUCAAAUGGCUCCCUCCAAAAUUCUCAAAACCCUUCUACAAAAUCCAUCUUCCAUUUCUUCAAAAUCUCAAGCUAAGCAACUCCAUGCCCAGAUCAUCAAACACAAAGGUCUCAACCCCUAUUAUCUUUCCACCCUUCUUUCAGUCUACUCAAACCUCAAUUUUUUACCUGAAUCAAUCAAUAUCUUUAAUACCCUUCAAUCACCCCCAAUUCUUGCAUGGAAAUCUAUCAUUAGAUGUUAUACUUCUCUUGGGUUUUGCAUUGAAUGUUUGAAUUGUUUCAAUCAAAUGCGAGUUUCUGGGUUAUACCCAGAUCAUAAUGUAUUUCCUUCUGUUGUAAAAUCAUGCACUUUGUUGAAAAAUUUGAAACUUGCUGAAUCUUUUCACGCUUGUAUUAUACGCCUUGGUCUUGAUAUUGAUAUUUAUACUGGUAAUGCACUUAUGAACAUGUACUCUAAAUUGGAGAGUGUGAGUGGGGAUUUUGGUGGCAAGGGUGGUCACUCCCUCCAUGUGUUCGAUAAAAUGCCUCAACGAAAAUUGAACUUUAGGGGUAGUGAUAAUUUGUCUAGUACUAAUGUUAAGGAUAAUGUGGUUGAUGAGUUUGAUAAAAUGGUUGUGGGUUUUCAUCCAAAGUUUAAUUUGGAUGUUAUGGGUGGUAGUAGUUCAGAGUAUUGUCCUGGUAAAGGCAGGGGACCGUCUUUUCGAAAGAGCGGUGUGCAAAAAGUAUUUGAGAUUAUGCCAGUUAGGGAUCUUGUUUCAUGGAAUACAGUUAUUUCAGGAAAUGCACAAAAUGGGAUGUUUGAAGACGCUUUAGCAAUGCUAAGGGACAUGGGAAAGGCCAACCUGAAACCAGAUACUUUUAGUCUUUCGAGUGUUCUUCCAAUGUUUGCAGAACUUGUGGAUGUUCAUCGGGGGAGGGAGAUUCAUGGUUAUGCUAUUAGAAAUGGACUUGAUACCGACUUGCACGUUGGAAGUGGCUUGAUUGACAUGUAUUCUAAGUGCAAUCAAAUAGAGAAUGCAUACAGGGUGUUCAUUCUUUUACCUUUCCAUGAUAGCAUUUCUUGGAACUCUAUUAUUGCAGGGUGUGUUCAAAAUGGUCACUUUGAUGAGGGCCUAAAGUUGUUUAGGAAAAUGGUAAUGGCUAAAGUUAAGCCUGGGAGUGUUUCAUUUUCGAGCAUCGUUCCUGCUUGUGCUCAUCUAACAACGCUACGUUUGGGUAAGCAGUUACAUGGGUAUAUAAUGAGGUGUGGGUUUGAGGAAAAUGUACUUAUUGCUAGUUCACUGGUUGACAUGUAUGCAAAAUGCGGGUACAUCAAGCUUGCUAGGUGUAUAUUCAAUCAAAUAAAACUACAUGACACUGUCUCAUGGACAGCCAUGAUCAUGAGUUAUGCUUUACAUGGGCAUGCUCAUGAUGCCAUUUGCUUAUUCAAGCAAAUGGAAGUUGAGGGAGUAAAACCUAACUCUGUUGCUUUUAUAGCUCUUUUAACAGCUUGUAGUCAUGCUGGGUUAGUUGAUGAAUCCUGGAAUUACUUUAGCAGCAUGAUUCAUGAUUAUGGACUAUCUCCACAAUUGGAGCACUAUGCUGCUGUAGCAGACCUUCUUGGCCGAGCUGGAAGGUUAAAUGAAGCUUAUGAUUUCAUUUCUAAGAUGUCUUCUUCUCCAAGCGGCAGUGUUUGGUCCACGUUGCUUUCAGCUUGUCGAGUACAUAAAAAUGUUGAUAUGGCUGAAAAAGUUGCAGCAGAAGUAUUCAGAGUUGAUCCCAGUAACAUAGGGGCUUAUGUUCUGUUAUCAAACACAUAUUGUGCUGCCAAAAGGUGGAAAGAAGCUGCAAAUGUGAGAAAAACAAUGAAGAAUAAAGGGCUUUUGAAAGAAGCAGCUUGCAGCUGGAUUGAAGUGAAGAACAGAUUACAUGGUUUCGUGGCAGGAGAUAAAUCUCAUCCAUGUUAUGAAAGAAUAAAUAAGGCUCUAGACGAGUUACUAGAGAAGAUGGAGAGAGAAGGAUAUGUUCCUGAUACAAGUGAAGUGUUCCAUGAUAUUGAUGAGGAGUUGAAGAAGAGUUUACUUUUUAAUCACAGUGAGAGAUUAGCGAUAGCAUUUGGUAUCAUAAGUACUCCAGAAGGAGCAACAAUUUGCAUAACCAAGAAUAUACGAGUCUGUACCGACUGUCAUACUGCUAUUAAAUUCAUAUCGAAGAUUGUUAAGAGAGAAAUAAUUGUUAGGGAUAAUAGCCGGUUUCAUCAUUUUAAAGAUGGUAUUUGUUCAUGCGGGGAUUAUUGGUAGCGUGAAUGAACUUACAGCAUUGCAGAAAGCCUCUAAAUGUGAAAUGGCGAAACAGUUAGCAGAGCGGACUAUAUCAGAGUUUGUAUUGUUUGGCAUGCAAUUUGACAGUAUUUUCUGUCAAAUAUCUAAUGUGGAGCUGCAUGUUCCAGGCUGCUACCAGGCUACCACAAUCUGGUCAUUUCUGAUCUGGGGUUCGGGCCAAUUUUUUGGGUUGGACAUUUCUGCCCAAGCCCGGUAAAAGUGUAAAACCAAGCGUGCCAAAGGCCAAGUUAGCCUUAAAAUUGCAUUUCCGGCUGAAAAUGGUCUUGCAAUUGGGCUGAAAAUUUCUGUCAAAUCCGGAAAUCAAGCUGUGCCAGUUUAAUCUGUUCUCUGAGUAACAUACUUUCAUGUCAGAUGAUGCAUCAGACUUCAGAAUCACUCAGAAAGUCAGAAGUGAAUAUGUUGCAGACUUGCAAUUGUUGAAGAGGAUGAAGAAUAUGAUCUAAACAGGUAAAAGAUACAAAUUGUUAUAGCUUCUUCUGAAGUUUGGACGUAACUAUCCAGUUUCUGACAGGAGCAGACUAAUUUGUCAUUAGAUUUAUUAAUUGCUAAUUUGAAGGGAAUUUUUUCCCUUUUUUUUUGAACACAACUCGGGAUUUACUAGCUAAACUAGCUGACAUAACCUGUUACAGAGUAACCCUUACUAAUUUGUAUAAGCUUAUGUGAAUGCAUCUCAUGCCACAAUAAAGUCCAAGAACCAAAUUUGAGAAGGGUCCAUCAGAGGA